UGGCGGACGGGUGAGUAAUGUCUGGGAAACUGCCCGAUGGAGGGGGAUAACUACUGGAAACGGUAGCUAAUACCGCAUAACGUCGCAAGACCAAAGAGGGGGACCUUAGGGCCUCUUGCCAUCGGAUGUGCCCAGAUGGGAUUAGCUAGUAGGUGGGGUAACGGCUCACCUAGGCGACGAUCCCUAGCUGGUCUGAGAGGAUGACCAGCCACACUGGGACUGAGACACGGUCCAG
rnacentral:rRNA from 1 species